GCGGAGGAAAAGAAACCAACAGGGAUUGCCUCAGUAACGGCGAGUGAAGCGGCAACAGCUCAAAUUUGAAAUCUGGCUCUUUCAGGGUCCGAGUUGUAAUUUGUAGAGGGUGCUUUGGCGUCGGCCGUGGUCUAAGUUCCUUGGAACAGGACGUCACAGAGGGUGAGAAUCCCGUACGUGGCCGCCGGUCUUCGCCGUGUAAAGCCCCUUCGACGAGUCGAGUUGUUUGGGAAUGCAGCUCUAAAUGGGAGAUAAAUUUCUUCUAAAGCUAAAUAUUGGCCAGAGACCGAUAGCGCACAAGUAGAGUGAUCGAAAGAUGAAAAGCACUUUGGAAAGAGAGUCAAAAAGCACGUGAAAUUGUUGAAAGGGAAGCGCUUGCAGCCAGACGUGCCCGCAGUUGCUCACCUGGGCUUUUGCCCGGGGCAUUCUUCUGCGGGCAGGCCAGCAUCAGUCCGGGCGGUUGGAUAAAGGCCUCUAUCACGUACCACCCUUCGGGGUGUCCUUAUAGGGGAGGCGCAACACGGCCAGCCUGGACUGAGGACCGCGCAUUCGCUAGGAUGCUGGCGUAAUGGCUGUAAGCGGCCCGUCUUGAAACACGGACCAAGGAGUCUAACAUCUAUGCGAGUGUUUGGGUGUCAAGCCCGGGCGCGCAAUGAAAGUGAACGGAGGUGGGAACCCCUCGGGGUGCACCAUCGACCGAUCCUGAAGUCUUCGGAUGGAUUUGAGUAAGAGCAUAGCUGUUGGGACCCGAAAGAUGGUGAACUAUGCCUGAAUAGGGUGAAGCCAGGGGAAACCCUGGUGGAGGCUCGCAGCGGUUCUGACGUGCAAAUCGAUCGUCAAAUUUGGGCAUAGGGGCGAAAGACUAAUCGA
rnacentral:rRNA from 1 species